GUUCAAAUGAGUAAGGGCUUAUGGUGGAUACCUAGGCACCCAGAGAUGAGGAAGGGCAUGGUAAGUGACAAAAUGCUUCGGGGAGUUGAAAAUGAGCAUAGAUCCAGAGAUUCCCGAAUAGGUUAACCUUUUUAACUACUGCUUAAUACAUGGGCAGGUAAGACACAACCUGGUGAACUGAAACAUCUUAGUAGCCAGAGGAAUAUAAAGCAAAAGUGAUUCCUAUAGUAGAGAAAAGAGAAAUGGGAGCAACCUAAACCAUGAAAACAGGGUUGUGGGAGAGCACACUAUAAGCUCUAUGUUGCUAGGUGAAGCGGUUGAGUCGUGCACCCUAGAUGGUGAGAGUCCAGUAGCCAAAAGAAUAAUUGGGUUACACUCUAACUCGAUUAGCAUGGGGCACAUGGAAUCCUGUGUGAAUCAGGAAGGACCACCUUGCAAGGCUAAAUACUCUUAGGUGACCGAUAGAAAAGUAGUACCGUGAGGGAAAGGUGAAAAGAACUCCCAUCGAGGAGUUAAAUAGAACAUGAAACCAUAAGCUCCCAAGCAGUGGGAGGAAAAUGAUAUCUCUGACCAUGUGCCUAUUGAAGAAUGAGCUGGUGACUUAUAGGCAGUGGCUUGGUUAAGGGAACUGACCGGAGCCAUAGUGAGAGUGAGUCCUCAUGGGGAAAUUGUCACUGCUUAUGGACCCUAACCUGGGUGAUAUAUCCAUGACUAGGAUGAAGCUUGGGUGAAACUAAGUGGAGGUCCAAACCGACUGAUGUUGAAAAAUCAGCAGAUGAUUCGUGGUUAGGAGUGAAAUGCAACUCGAACCCAGAGCUAGCUGGUUCUCCCCAAAAUGCGUUGAGGCACAACAAUUGACUGGACCAUCUAGGGGUAUAGCACUAUUUCGGUACAUGCUGCGAGAGUGGUACCAAAUCGAGGCAAACUAUGAAUACUAUAUUGCCCCAAUAAAAGGGGUAAAGGUCAUCCAGUGAGACGAUGGGGGAUAAGCUUCAUCGUAGAGAGUGAAACAACCCAGAUUAUCAGAUAAGGCCCCUAAAUGAGUACUCAAUGAUGAAGGAAGUACUGUUGAUUAAGGUUGGUUGUCAUUGAUGUCAACCCUUGAAGAAAGACCCGUAGCACAAAGUUUUGGGUAAUGGACCCAAUAGUGUUUGAUGUAAAUAUGACUCA
rnacentral:ncRNA from 1 species